rnacentral:tRNA from 8 species
GUAGUUCAGUUGGUUAGAAUACCGGCCUGUCACGCCGGGGGUCGCGGGUUCGAGUCCCGUCCGCUCCGCCA